GAGUAAAGAUUUCGGUCGCUUUGGGAGGAGCUCGCUUACUAUCAGCUUGUUGGUAGGGUAAUGGCCUACCAAGGCUAUGACGGUUAGGGGGUGUGAGAGCAUGACCCCCAGCAUUGGCACUGAAACACUGGCCAAACACCUACGGGUGGCUGCAGUCGAGAAUCUUCCACAAUGGGGGAAACCCUGAUGGAGCGAUGCUGCGUGCGGGAUGAAGGCCUUCGGGUUGUAAACCGCUUAUGUAGGGGACGAAAUUUUUGACGGUACCCUUUCGAAUAAGAGUUUGCUAACUUCUUGUGCCAGCAAGCAACCGGUUAAUCAGGAGACCUCAAGCGUUAUCCCGGAUAUACUGGGCGUAAAGCGUCUGUAAGGGGGUCAAUAAAGUUCCCAAGUAAAAUUACAAGGCUCAACUUUGAAUUCGCUUGGAAAACUAAUAAACUGGAGUCUAGCAGAGGUGCAUGGAACUUGUGGUGUAGGAGUGAAAUCCGUUGAUAUCACAAGGAACACCAAAGGCGAAGGCAUUGCACUGGGCUAGCACUGACCCUGAGAGACGAAAGCGUGGGGAGCAAAACGGAUUAGAUACCCGUGUAGUCCACGCCCUAAACGAUGAAUGCUAAAUGUUCGGGGAUUCGACCCCCUGGGUGUUACAGCUAACGCGUUAAGCAUUCCGCCUGGGAAGUACGGCCGCAAGGCUAAAACUCAAAGGAAUAGACGGGGAUCCGCACAAGCGGUGGAGCGUCUGGUUUAAUUCGACAGUAAGCGUGGUACCUCACCAGGGUUUGACAUCCCUUGACAGCCUUGGAAACAAGGUUUCCUUCGGGCAAGGUGACAGGUGCUGCAUGGUCGUCGUCAGUUCGUGCCGUGAGGUGUUCCGUUAAGUCGGGAAACGAACGAAACCCCUAUUGCAUGUUACAAUUUCUCAUGCAAGACUGCCCGGAUAUACUGGGAGGAAGGUGGGGAUGACGUCAGAUCUGCAUGGUCCUUAUACCCUGGGCGACACAGGCGCUACAAUGGCAGAGACAAAGGGUUGCAAAACCGCAAGGUGAAGCUAAUCCCAAAAACUUUGUCUAAGUUCGGAUUGAAGGCUGCAAUUCGCCUUCAUGAAGCUGGAAUCGCUAGUAAUCGUGAAUCAGCCACGUCACGGUGAAUAUGUUCCCGGAUCUUGUACUCACCGCCCGUCACACCAAGAGAGUUGGUAGCUCCCGAAGCG
rnacentral:rRNA from 1 species